CCAAAAUAAAAACUAUUCAAGAAGUCAGCUGCUGCUAUAAAGGUCAUCUGGAAAGUCCAGGGAAGGGCCCUGAGCUGCUGCUGGGAAAGGGAAAUUGUCCUCUGGCCCGUGAUCUGGCGUGUUUGUCUGCUGAGUGGCUUUAGUGGUUUCAUCUAUUGCUGAAAGAGCCAAGAGAAAGGAAUAAAAUAGGAUUGUAAUCCACACCACAAUGAGCAAGAUGAGAAGAUCAGCCAAAGAACACAGUGAAGAAAACAAAGGAGUCUUUUACUAAAGCUGAUUGAGAAUAGAGUGCCAAGGAAAAGGGAAAGCUGAGUUUGCCUGGAAGGAUAAAACAAUAAUGCUGACUAAAUGCCUCACCUCCUAUCAUCUUCAAAGCCACAUGAGGUACACAGGGAAGAAGCUUUUCUCCUUAAUGAAUUAAAAAUGAUUGGAGGUGGUUUACAAAGAUUGCACCUAAAGGAUCCCCCAGUCUGGACUCAAGACAGCCUGAAACCCAGAAGUAGAUGUUGACACAGAGAGAGCUACAGGAAAAGUCCCCCAGUUCUAGUCUAAGACAUGAGAAAUGGAUGCCUGAGAGCUCAGAAGGAGCAGGACCAAUUUUCUGGUUCUCUCACAUCCCAUCUCCAUGGCAUCGGCAGUAAGGACAGCCACACCUGCAAGUGCCUUAAUUUCUGAGGGAAGAGGAUGUUAACUCUCAAAUGAGAAGACCCAUAGCUUCAAGAGAGUGGGGUGAAUUCCCAUUGUUGUUGUUUUUUUUCCUGUCUUCCUACCUCUUUGCUAAAAUAAAGGUAUAGCUAUGGAAAGUGUGCAGCAGAACAGGGAGGAUUAAAACCUUAGAUUUCUGUCUAGAGGACUGAAAAAGGAAGGCACAGUAAACCAAAAUGUAACAGAUAGGUCAUGGAGGUGGAGGAGCUUGGAUAAGUGACCGCUGUAAAUUUAUGAACUCCUGGGUUUACUCCACCCUGCACACACAGGAAUCUGAUCUAAAUAGCCUACCAACAGUUGUUCAGUUAAGAACUGAAAGAUCUAGGCCCCUGCCCAUGUCCCAGACUGGCCACUGGGUGGCACACAUUUGCGACAGAUCUAAAUAGCUUUGCAAAGGCUUCAAAAAUGGAACUGACAUUGAUACCACCACCCACAGGAGCCUACUUGUAUCUUGCAACGUGAAUCCAACUGAUCAACUGCCUAAUAAAAUAUAAACAUUCUCAAUAGAACUUAAGCAAGACUCAGAAUUUCAUAAUAUAAUUUUCAAAAUGUUCAUGAUAUUACAAUCCAAAAUCAUUCAGCAUGUGAAGAAACAAGAUCUUAACUCACAUGGGAAAAGACAACAACAGGUGCCAGUACUGAGAUGACACAGGUGUUGGAACUAUCUAACAGAGACUUUAAUGCAUUAUAUUAUAAAAAUGUUCUGGAAAGUAAGGGUAAAUACUCGUAAAAUGAAUGGAAAGAUAGAAAAUGUCAGAAAAUACAUAGAAAAUAAAAGAAAAACCAAAUGGAAAUUUUAGAACUAAAUAUAUAAUAAAAUUUUUGAAAUUCACUGGAUGAACUCAGUAGUCAAAUGGAGGUGACAGAGGAAAGGGAUCAUGAACUUGAAUAUAAAACAAAAAAAUUCUCCAGAUUGAUCAACAAAGAGAAAAAAUUGAGAAGAAAAAUUUUGCAGAGCCUCAAGGAUAUGAAUGUUGAUACCAAAAGUUCUAACAUUCAUGUCACUGAAGAAACAGAAAGAGAGGAGAAGAUGCAGUACAAAAAAAGCAUCUGAAGAUAAUGUAUUUGAAGAAAAUUUUCCAUAUUUGGUGAAAGACAUAAAUGUAGAGAUUUAAGAAGCUGAGAAACUACAAACAGGAUAAACAUAUAAAAAAAUCCACACCCAGGUACAACAUGACCAAGUUUUUGUAAAUUAAAGCCAGAAAAAAUGUCUUGAAAAUAGGCAGGGACAAACAGUGCAUCAUAUACAGAGUAACAGUAAUUUUAAUAAUUGGAUUUCUCAUCAAAAACCAUGGAGAAACCACAAAAAAAAAAAAAAAAGCUGGCCCAACAAUUCUUAAGUGCUGAAAGAAAAGAAUUGUCAAUCCAGAAUUCUACAUGCAGCAAAAAUAUCUUCCAGGAAUGGAAAUGAAGUAAGACGUUUUCUGCUGAGAGAAAACUAAAAGAAUUAUUUUCUAGCAAACCUGCACUUAAAGAAUUGGUACAGGAAGUUCUUCAGAUAGAAAUAAAAUAAUACCAGAAGGAAACUUGGAGCUACAGGAAUGAAAGAAGAGCAACAGAAACAAAAAAGAGCAACAGUUCGUAUCUGGGUAAUUCUAAUUAUUUCUCUCCUCUUGAGUUCAUUCAAAUAUGUUUGAUGGUUGAGAGCAAAAAUUAUAAUAUACAUCUCUCUCAACUUAAGAUGGAGUUAGAGCCUGAUAAACCCAUAAAUUGAAAAUAUCAUAAGUCAAAAAUGCAUUUAAUCCACUAACUUACUAAACAUCAUCGCUUAGCUUAGCUUGCCCUGCACAUAUUCAGAACACUUACAGUCUAUAGUUGGGCAAAAUCAUCUAACACAAUGUAUGUAAUUUAUAAACUAUUGGAUAUGUAUGUAAUUUGUUGAAUAUUAUACUGAAGUGAAAAACAGAAUGGUUUAUGGCAAUGGAAUGGUUGUAAGUUUAUUGGUUGUUUACCCUUGUGAUUGCAUGGCUGACAGAGAUGUGACUUGCUAUCACUACUCAGAAUUAUGAGAGAGUAUUGUAUCACAUAUCACUAGCUAUAAAAAGAUCAAAAUUCAAAAUGGUAAGUACGGUUUCUACUGAAUACAUACUACUUCCACACUGUCAUAAAGUAAAAAAACUGCAUAUUGAGCCAUUAUAAGUGAUAUGUCUGAUGGAAUUUUCAAUAUAUUUAGAUAUAAUACAAAUGACAACUACAAUGUAAAGAGAGGAGAGUAAAACACAUAUUAUUGUAUUUUUUCUACCUUCUACUUAAUAUGAUAAAAUACUGAUUUGAAGUAGACUGUGAAAAGUUAAGUAUGUAUAUUAUAACCCUUAAAUAGCCAAUAAAAACAUUCUAUACAAAGAGACAUGGUAGAAUUUAUAAUAAGUAGAAUUUAACACCAAAAAAAAUUCCCAUAGCCCUAAAGAAAUAGAAAGGAGGAAACGUAAUAAAAAGAUAACAAAUAGAAAAUAAACAAUAAAAUGGCAAAAAUAUCACCAUUAUAUUAAAUGUCAAUGGUCUAUGCACACAAAUUAAAAGACAGAGAUUGUCAAAGUGGAUAAAAAUAAGUGACUCAAUACUAUAUGCUGUCUAUAAGAAACUUCAAUAUAUAGGUAAGUUAAUAGUAAAAAUAUGGGAAAAAAUAUAUAUAUAUAUCAUGCAAACAGUCCUAACUUCAAAGGGAAGAUGUGUUUCUAGUGAACAAUAGCCCUCAAAGAGCCUGGGGAAUAACAUAGAAAUGGCAGGAGCUCCAGAGGAUGAAUGGUUAGUGAGGGUCAUGGUAGAAGCCGAGAUCUCAUAAAACUAUGAUCCAUCACCUAAUGCUAUAAUUAUGUGGCCAUGUGAAGCUGGAAGCUGGCUGAAAUAGAUGGCUUAGCCAUGGCCUCCAGAGGGUAAACCAAUUUGGAUUUAUUCCCACCAUCUCAUCUUUCCAAAAGGUUCCCCCUUGAAAAUAAAACAUUUUCCCCCCCAAGAUUUGAAAACCAGUAUAUCCCUGGGCAGGGGGGGUGGAGGGGAGAAGAUGCCAUUACACCCAGUUCCCUUCACUCCUGCCAUCCUGAGCCUAUCAGGCUUUUUUUGUUUGUCCAAGGCAUUUCAUUUUAAUAUGGUUUCCCACUGCAGAGGCUGUCCUGCCUAUUUCCUGAAGUUUAUUGUUGCCAUGCUCUGACUCCAUUCUCUUCCGUAUUUUUGAACCUCAUAUUUACACCUCUAAUCAAAGGAGAAAGGCCUCUCUGUAUUAGUGAGAUAACACAGGACCCUCUUAGAUUCUUUCCAUCUUCCUCCCCAAAAUGUCUUAACCUAGGUCUUUCCUCAUUCAAGAUGCUAGGUAUUAUAGGCAUCUUAAGUAGUUCAGAGCAGAGUAUCAAUGUGGUAACUGGAGUAACCUUCUACUCUCAGAGGGCAACUAUUCCUGAAAACGUCAGGAAAAAAACACAAAACAAGCUUCUUGGGGAGGAGGAGAAAAUCCUCAGUAAGAUAAUUCCUAUUUCUGACAUUCUUCACAAGGUCAAAAAGUCUGGACACAGUUUAGGUUUAAUGGGGGUAAAAGAAUGAAUGGCUACAAAAAAAAAAAAAAACACAGAAAACAAAACAAACAAACAAAAAACCCAUCAUACUUAAGAAAUGCUUUUUCUAGAGAUCUGACCUGUUAGGAUUUCUUAAGAUUUGAGCUUCAAUAAACUUUUGUCGGAGAUGUUGGUAGAAAUCAUAGAGACGAAAAAACUUACAUCAAAACAAAUUAACCAACUAACAAAGAACAGCAUUAACAUGGACACUUGCUUUUUCCAAUAACAGUUUUGCGAAAAGCAUUGGUUAUUCAGACAUGGAAAGUAAAGUAAACUACCUUCCCUUUCUAGCCAUUUGUACUGACAUUACCCUGAUUGGAGCCUCUAGGCUUCUGGUCCAGCAUUAAGAUCCUGGUCUGAACUUUCACAAUUAUAGGGCUGGAUGUUUGGAAGGGAGUGAGGGAGAAAGAAGGUCAUGAGCUGUACACAUAGUCUCAAAAUUAAUCUUCUUAAAAACUCAUUAAUUCCUUGCUCAACUCCCACUGGCUUCUCACUGAACUCUGAAGAAUGCCUAUAUUCUUUAAACUGGCUUUCCCCCAAAGCAAACUGGUUUUGCUGUUCUUUGAGGAAGUCAUGCUUGUCUGGAACUUUGUUCUGUUUCCCCUCUCUUCCCCCAGCAUGGAGAAUUUGGUUUUCCUUUGUAUUUCCUCAAAUCUUAUCCAUUCUGCUUCUUUGAAAAGUUGAUCUCCUCUACACUGAAUCACAAUAUUUUUUCUUGUUUUCUUUUUUUUUAAUAGCACUGGAAUAUACCUGCCAAAAUAGGAGACACAGACAGUCUAAGGUUAAUUACCUAUUUUCUGUGUAUAUUUUGGGUCUGCAAGUGGAUUUUAAAUCCUUAGAACCCAUGAGCUCUGGCUUAAAUUUUUUUCCUAUUACCAAGUCAAAAUAGUUGAAAUUUAUCUUAACAAAGUUCAAAAGCAAAUAUGAGCUUAUUUGUGAAUAUUUCUCUAGCCUGUAAAUCAUAGUGUUCUUUUGAAUAUGCACAUUGAUGAUACUGGCAUGCUUCUACCUUGAUCAAAAUAUGUGCUCUGUAUGCAGAGUAAAAGCAGUGAUUUUCUUAUUUUAACAUGGAAAGUUGACACUAUGGCCAUGUCAUGGCUACUAUGUGUGAUUAAGUGGAAAACUACAAGUAUAGAUAAAGAAUUUUGGUGAAUAGUUUUUUUAUUAUGAACAGAUGCUAAUCCUCUCUUGAUAAUUGCUAACAAAAUUUUGCAUAAUCUUGUAGACACUUUAGGUAGAAGAUAAUAUGUUGAAUAAUUUGCUGCCUAACUUCCAUCAGAUUUAUAUUGCUACCCUAAGAUGUCUACUGGUUGCACUUAAAUCCAGUUUUUUUGUUUCUUUGUUUCGGGGAAACAUUGGUAAGAAUGAGCUUUUAAUAAAAGUGGAUGCUUUAAAAUGACACUACAGACAAAGGGCUGAUAUCCAAGAUCUGCAAAGAACUUCUCAAAUUCAACACCCAAAAAACAAAUAUUCAAGUCAAAAUAUGGGCAGAAGACAUGAACAGACACUUCUCCAAAGAAGACAUACAAAUGGCUAAUAGACACUUGAAAAAAUGUUCAUCAUCAUUAGCUGUCAGGGAAAUUCAAAUCAAAAUCACAUUGAGAUACCACCUUACACCAGUUAGAAUGGUGAAAAUUGAGAAGGCAAGAAAAAACAAAUGUUGGAAAGGUUGUGGAGAAAGGGGAACCCUCUUACACUGUUGGUGGGAAUGCAAGUUGGUGCAGCCACUUUGAAAACAGUAUAGAGAUUCCUCAAAAAAUUAAAAAUAGAGCUACCCUAUGAUCCAGCAAUUGCAGUAAUACCAAAGAUAGAGAUGUAGUGAAAAGAAUGGCCAUAUGCACCCAAUGUUCAUAGCAGCAAUGUCCACAAUAGCCAAAAUGUGGAAAGAGCCAAGAUAUCCUUCAACACAGAAUGGAUAAAGAAGAUGUGGUCCAUAUACACAAAGGAAUAUUAUUCAGCCAUCAAAAUGUAUGAAUACACAGCUUUUGCAUCAACAAAUGGAACCGGAGGAGAUUAUGCUAAGUGAAAUAAGUCAAGCAGAAAAAGUCAAUUAUCAAAUGGUUUCACUUAUUUGUGGAACAUAAAGAAUAGCAUGGAGGACAUUGGGGGAAGGAAGGGAAAAAUGAAGGAGGGGAGGAAUUCAGAGUGGGAGACAAACCAUGAGACUAUGGACUCCAAGAAACAGAGGGUUUUAGAAAGGGGGGAAGGGGAAUGGGUGAGCCUGGUGAUGGAUAUUAAGGAGGGCACACACAGAUUGUAUGGAGCACUGUGUGUGGUACACAAACAAUGAAUCACAGAAUACUACAUCAAAAACUAAUGUGGGGUGCCUGGGUGGCUCAGUGGGUUACGCCGCUGUCUUCGGCUCAGGUCAUGAUCUCAGGGUCCUGGGAUCGAGUCCCGUGUCGGGCUCUCUGCUCAGCAGGGAGCCUGCUUCCUCCUCUCUCUCUCUGCCUGCCUCUCUGCCUACUUGUGGUCUCUCUCUGUCAAAUAAAUA